rnacentral:lncRNA from 1 species
UUUAAUUGGUGAACGUAUAAUAUCUGUAUAAAUCACGUAUCUGAAUAAUUGCCGAAUUCGGUUUUUAGCCGUAUUUUUCAACUAAUUUAAAAAUUAAAAGACGAAUUAUAUCUGUACCGAAUUUUUGCCGAAUUCGAAUUAACUAACUAUACCUCCAGCCACCAAGGUUGGUUUAGCUGCGAUCGAUCUCAUCUGUUCAUCUGCUCGCUCCCGACGUGCUUUAUUAAUUAAUUGAUAUUUGAAGGGCAAAUUAGAAAAAUAUUUACUAUAUGAAGGGUAUAUAAGAAAAAUUAGUUACGGUAUAAGGGUAUAUUGGAAUGGGUAAAAUGGUAAUUUUUUAGAGAUAACGGCAGCUCAUUGACGAAACUUAACUACAGAGUAUAUUAGAAAGACUUGAAACGUAAGAAGGAUAAGAGUGGUAAAUAAAAAAAUCAGAAAUUUUUCAGGUAUAUAGAAAAUUGCCCCUUUUAGAAAUGAGUAUUCACUUUGAACACGUCACAUCUCGUAGAAGUAGAAGUAAAAAGAAAAGAAAAUAAUUUCCUCUUAUAUUGUUUUUGCAUUGGAGAGUUUUUCUUUCUCACUAUUUUUUACUUAGAGAAAAAAAUGAUGGCUAUAGAAGAUUGUUUUUUUUUUUUAAUUUCGCUCUACUUCUCUCCCUUUCUCUCUAACUUUUAUAUCUCUCUUCUUUUUUCUUUUCUUUUUCUAUUCUUCCUAAUCUUGUUGGAUUUGUUCAUAAUUAAGAGUAAACUGAUAUAUGUUAUGGGGCCCAAAGCUAAAUGACUAAAUGAUUAAUCUUUUAGAUCUAUGUUUUUUUUUUGAGAGAGAAAGAUUGAACGCCACCCGCUUCAUUCAUUUAGCAUAUGAAUUUAGCUAUAGGGGUUGAGGCAGCACGGUCUCGAAAAACAUGAAAGGCAACCAAAGAAAAAAAAAACGACAAAUAAAAAAUUAUAGAAAAUUGAUACUUCUAUUCCUCACUCACAAGCAAGACACUAACGAGCUGCAAAACUCAGCACAUUUCUUACUCACGUUCCGUAUUCGUCUAAUAGUCAAAAAAGAGUCAAAUGAUUGGCUUUUAAAAAUAAUGUUAUUUCUUUUCCGCCAAAUCAUUCACCAAUAAGUUGCGUUCCUUAUUAGAUCCCUCACCACUGCCCCUUGGAGGCGGUUUCCAGCCAGAAGCUUCCAAACACUCCUGACCUCCAUCCCAGAUCUAUAUUGAUAUAUGUUGUUGGCCCACACCUAGAUAUUAAUUUGUAUGCCAAAAUCUUAAUUUAAGUGAAUAUCUUGCCUUUCUUUCUCUCCCCUAAAAAAAGAAAAGAAAAGAAAAUCUAAUNCCGAAAUUUUAAUUGGUGAACGUAUAAUAUCCGUAUAAAUCACGUAUCUGAAUAAUUGCCGAAUUCGUUUUUUAGCCGUAUUUUUCAACUAAUUUAAAAAUUAAAAGACGAAUUAUAUCUGUACCGAAUUUUUGCCGAAUCCGAAUUAACUAACUAUACCUCCAGCCACCAAGGUUGGUUUAGCUGCGAUCGAUCUCAUCUGUUCAUCUGCUCGCUCCCGACGUGCUUUAUUAAUUAAUUGAUAUUUGAAGGGCAAAUUAGAAAAGUAUUUGCUAUAUGAAGGGUAUAUAAGAAAAGUUAGUUACGGUAUAAGGGUAUAUUAGAAUGGACAAAAUGGUAUUUUUCAGAGAUAACGGCAGCUCACUGACGGAACUUAACUACAGGAGUAUAUUAGAAAAACUUGAACAUAAGAAGGGUAUUUUCAAUAUUAGCCUUGUAAGAGGAGUAAAUAAGAAAAUUGAAAAUUUUUCAGGGUAUAUAGACAAUU